CUCAGACUUCGGGCUCCUGAACGUAUAUUCUUGAUCGCUCACUACACUGCUUCUGGAGCCAGCCAGCCACUCUCCGCUCCCUGCCUUCUGUCCACUAAUACUGAGCAAGCCCUUGGCUAUGUACUGGGGGUACCCCACAGAAAUAUACACAAGCUCUCACGCAGCCUGGAUUCUGAUGGAGAGAGACAGACAAAAAGAAGUAAUGGACAAACGAAGUGCAAAGGGUACUAAGUGUCACAGAAAACCGAUGAGAGGUCAAGGCAGGAACAUUCAGGGGCAUGCUGGAUGCCAGAAAGGACCCAACCAUCGUGGAAACAUUUUGGGCAGAAGGCACUCCAAGUACAAAGGCACUAGGCAGGAAGGAACGUGGCUGGCUCCAGGAACUUGAGAACGGCGUGGUGGAACAGAGCGACCAAGAUGCUGUUUAGGAAGCAGCUCCAGUCCUGAGAGAAUUUCAAUGGGGACAAAACAAAUGCCUGAACUGAUACCUCAGGAAACUACCAGAAAGAUCAAAAUGCACAACUAUAAUUCUUUGAAAACUAGAUCCUGCAUUGCCCUUUCUGAUACCAGCCAGUGGCACCAAAAAUGUAGCUACUGUUCCACAGCCACCACUGAUCUGGGGAGUGAGAGAUGGUUGACAGAGGAGCAAAGAUGCCACAAGACUUUGUUUUUUUAACCAAAGAUUAGCAGCCUCUUUCUUCAUUAAGCACUCCCCGUGGUUGUCGUAUGGCUUUGAUCAGAUUCCAGAAUGCCAAAAAAGUUGAUUCUGACUGUUUUUUGCCAGUUUAGUGGUUGCUUCAGUGGAAAGACUAAUUGUUGGAGUUCCUUACAUUUUAAGUUUUAUUGAAGUCCAUGUUACCAAUUUGUGUGUGUGUGUGUGUGUGUGUGUGAAUUGCACUUUUGGUGCCAUAUCUAAGAACACUGUGCCUCACUUGAGGUAUCAAAAGUCUCUUUUAUGUUUUCUUCUAUAAGUUUUACCGUUUUAGUUCUUAUGUUCAGAACUAUGACUCAUUUUGAGCUAAUUUUUGUGUGUGGUGUGAGAUAAUGAUCUACAUUUAUCUUUUUGCUUGUAGUUACCCAAUUGUCCCAGCAUGAUAUGUUGAAAAGAUUAUCCUUUCCCCCACUGCAUUAUCUCAGCACUUAUUUUGAAAAUUAAUUGACUUUAAAUAUGUGGGUUUAUUUCUGGACUCUCUGUUUUGUUUCAUUGCUUUAUGUCUAUCCAUAAGCCAGUACCACAUUGUCUUAAUUAUAGCUUCAGAGUAAGUUUUGAAAUUGGGAAAUGAAAGUCAUCCAACUUUGUUCUGCUUUUCUAGAAUUGUUUUGGCUGUUCUGGGUCUUCUGCAUUUCCAUAAAAAUGGUAGGAUUAGCUUAUUAAUUUCUGUGAAAAUACCUGCUAAGAAUUGGACAAGGAUUGUGUUGAAUCUACUUAUCAAUUUGGGGAGAUUUGCCAUCUUAAAAGUAUUGUGUCUUCUGAUUCCUGCACAUGGACUAGCUUUCCACUUGUUUAGGUCUUUUAAAAUUUCUCU